rnacentral:misc_RNA from 1 species
CGCACCUUGCGCCCUUUGGUAUUCCGAAGGGCACGCCUGUUUGAGUGUCGUGAAAUUCUCAACCCCCUCCCCCUUUGUUGUGAAGGUGGGCCAGGGCUUGGACUUGGAGGUUCUUGCCGGGCUUUUUGAGCUCGGCUCCUCUCAAAUGCAUUAGUGCGUCUCGUUUUUGUGGCGUUACCUUUUGGUGUGAUAGAUAUCUACGCCACCUGGUCGUCGCAGUCAAAUAAAAGAGGCCGUGCUCACAACCGUCUUCCCUUGUGGGGACAACACAUCGAAACUUGACCUCAAAUCAGGCGGGACUACCCGCUGAACUUAA